AGCUCCAAUAGCGUAUAUUAAAGUUGUUGCGGUUAAAAAGCUCGUAGUUGGAUUUCUGUAUUGCCAGACCGGUCCGCUCUCUGAGUUGGUACCAGGUGCUGGACAUACAUUGCUCCUAGAAUUUGCGUUCGCACUUCACUGUGUGGCGCUAACUCUAGGUCAUUUACUUUGAGGAAAUUAGAGUGUUUCAAGCAGGCGUAUGCCUUGAAUACAUUAGCAUGGAAUAAUAAAAUAUGACUGAAGCCUUAUUUUGUUGGUUUAUAGGGCUCCAGUAAUGACAAAUAGGAACAGUCGGGGGCAUUCGUAUUUAGCUGUCAGAGGUGAAAUUCUUGGAUUUGCUAAAGACGAACUACUGCGAAAGCAUUUGCCAAGGAUGUUUUCAUUG
rnacentral:rRNA from 2 species